UUUUUUUUUUUGAGACGGAGUCUCGCUCUGUCACCCAGGCUAGACGGCAGUGGUGCAAUCUUGACUCACUGCAAGCUCCGCCUGCCCGGUUCACGCCAUUCUCCUGCCUCAGCCUCCCGAGUAGCUGGGACUACAGGCGCCCGCCACCACGCCCGGCUAAUUUUUUGUAUUUUUAGUAGAGACAGGGUUUCACCGUGUUAGCCGGGAUGGUCUUCAUCUCCUGACCUCAUGAUCCACCCACCUCGGCCUCCUGAAGCGCUGGGAUUACAGGCGUGAGCCACCACACCCGGCCUAAAAGAUCUUUUUUUAAUUUUGCUUCUAACUGACAGAUAAAUUUGUGAUAUCAUAUGAUGUUAUCAUAUAUGUAUACAUUGCAGAAUCAUUAAAUCAGGCUAAUUAACACAUCUGCCACCUCAUAUUCUUAUCAUUUCUUUGUGACGAGAACAUUUAAAACCUAGUCUUUUGGCAAUUUUGAAAUAUACGCCACAUUAUUAUUAACUAUAGUCACUAUGCUGUGCAAGAGAUCACUAGAACUUAUUCCUCCUAACUGAAACUUUGUACCCGUUGACUAAGACCUCUCCUUUCUCCAUCCACCCCCAAAAAGAAAAUAUUAAUGCUUUCAAAUAAAACUCCAAAUAGCAGCAUUAAGGCAUUCAGAAUCCCUGAGUUUGCCUCUUUGAAUAGAAGUUCUCUUCUUCUAUUUCUCUACCUGUAGAUUAUGAAAAAAUAACACAUUCUUCUAGGCCAGCCAUAUGUUAGAAAGAAACUAGAGUUUGUUUACUUAAGUGUUACCAUUUAAAAACCUCAGAGCCACCGGGUACGGUGGCUCACGCCUAUAAUCCCAACACUUUGGGAGGCCAAGGCGGGCGGAUCACAUGAGGCCAGGAGUUGAGACCAGCCUGGUCAACAUUGCGAAACCCCUACUCUACUAAAAAUACAAAAAAAAAAAAAAAAUUAGCCGGGUGUGCUGGCACGAGCCUAUAAUUCCACCUACUUGGGAGGCUGAAGCUGCAGUGACCGAGACUGCGCCACUGCACUCCAGCCUGGGUGACGGAGCAACACUCCUUCUCAAACCAACCAACCAACCAACCUCAGAGCCAAAUAAAUUUAUUCUCCCACAAAUAUGAAAAUGCUCUGCAAGUAUAAAUUCUAGACCUACAUUGGGUAAUAAACUAUCAGCAUCACCAGGAAUCUAUCCCAAACCAGUAAAAAUCAAAUUCUAUCACAGUGGCCGAUCUGCUGCUUUGUAGCUAAAAAAAACCAACAAGGUUUGACCCCAUUACACAUACUCACUGCCGGUUUUGGUGCAUUAGCUCCCAAUCUCCCUCUGUAACUUCCUGAGCUAUAACAAGAAGCUCUGAACCCCAUGAAAGUGAUAUAUAUUGUCACAGAGACAUGGUCAGCCUUGUGCAACUAGAGGCAAUAUAAAAAAAUCACAAAACUCUAAAGCAUUUUCUCUAUAUACACAAUUGUAUUUACCCUCUGCCUUUCAGAACUCUCAGGAAGAAACAGAGUCAAAACUUAUCUAUAAUUGCUCUGUAAUCUCAGCACUUUGGGAGGCCAAGGCAGGAGGAUAGCUUGAGGCCAAGAAUUUGAGACCAGCCUGGGCAACACAGCAAGAUCCCACCUCUACAAACAAACUUAAAAUUAAGAAAAAAAAAAAAAAAGAGUGGGCACAGAGGUGUGAACCUCUGUAAUCCCAAUACUUUGGGAGGCUGAGGCAGGAUGAUCGCUGGAGCCCAGGAGUUCAAGACCAGCCUGGGCAACACUGUGAGACCCCAUCCCUACAAGAAAACAACACACAAACAAACAAACAAAAAAUAUCUUUAAUUGGUAACAGGUACCAUUUAUCAAGUGUCUACUGUAUACCACCAGGCGUUGUGCAACACACUUCCCAUACAUCUCUCUCCACUAUCAUAAAAGUCAACAGAGGCUGUCAUUAUUUUCAUUUUACAGAUGAGGAAACAGCCUCAGACCAAUUAAGGAGCUCACUCAAAACACAAAUCUAAUAAAUGGUAGCACUGGGAUUUCAGCCCAGGUCUGUCAGAUUGCACUGCCCUUAAAAGGAGGUCAUGUCAGAUGUUCACAAGUCCAAAGUUUCCAUGGAUAUCUGUUACAGCCACUGUCUAUCCUAUGUGACAAAUGAUUUAAAAAGAAUAGUCUAAGUAAAUCAAACACCAGAAAAUCUAUUCCACAUAACUCAUAUCUCACCCUCCCCUCUACAAACGUCAACUGACUAAUUCAUCUUCCACACCUCAAAUGGUUUGUUUUACACCAAAUUAUAAUUAUUCCCCAGGGCUGGUCGUCAGCCACUUAUUCACAUUGGAAGUACAGGUUGCUUGACAUCUAGUUUGAUCCAAGUCAUCUCUCUCGGAUUCAAAUCUUAAAUUCUCAUUCCUCAAAAUGCAACAAUUGCAACUCAAUUCCAUAAACAUUUAUUAAGUCCUUACAUAACUGCCUGUGUCAAGCAAACAGACACAGCCCACGCCCAAGGCAAGCUCAAGGUCUAGUUGGGGAAAUAAGCAACCAAAUGAGUAAACACAAGGAGGGGGCAGCUAAUUUGGUUUGAGAAAUUCGGGAGGCACCUAUGGGAUUCUUGAAGAAUGAGUGGGAAUCUAUAAAAUGACUAAUUAAAGAAAGAGCAUACUAAGUACAAAAAAGGGACAAAAUGGUACCAUAACUUGGAAAUAUUAAUUCUGUGUGACCAAAUGGGAAGGAAGAAUAAAUGGUGGAGGCAGUUUGUGAAAAUUGUUAUAUAUGAAAACUUUAUCCUGUAGGAAAAAAGGAACCAACGCUUUUUUUUUUAGUAGCAUGGCAACAGGAGUAAAUGUAACUAACGUUCUGGCUCUCUCAGCAAGCAGGAGGUAAUGCAAAUUCCACAUUUUCAGAUUUUACAUGCCCAGUCUAUUGGGUCACUAAUGAUGAAUGUCAAAAGAAAAACAAAGCUACUUAUAGUUCUCCUUUUUCAUUAUCUUAGUUCAGGUACAGCACUCUUCUGCUUUGCAUAUAUUAGAUUCAUGUUGUACCCUGCAUUAAAAUAUUCAGCACAAGGAGGCCAAAGAGAAGGCAGACCUGCAUUUCAGCACAUCUCUGCAGGCUGCAAUGCAAUGUUCAUAAUUAAGAUGAUCUGAAUUCCCCCCAAAUCUUCUUUUUUCAACUCAUUGAUAAAGUCUUGAUUAAAAAUAUAGACAUUUUGUCAUCCUUACUACAUUUAUCUCACCUCAAAACUCUCCUGACUUGGUGAAAGAAAAUGCUGCCUUCUCUGUCUGGUCAAUUAUUGCAUGGACACAAGGGACCAAUUAAUGCCAUCCAUAAAAGCCUGAAUCAUUCUGUCAAUUAACAAGAACUAACUAUGUCAUCAGAUAUAUUACUGGUGAGCAAGUCUAUUUGGUUGCAAUAUGUCUUGAAGGAGAGCAGUAUCAAAUGAAUCACAAUUGACUUGGACAACUGCUAGCAUAAUUUCGGAAGAUGAAAAGACAGAUGUGGUAGUUAUUAGUGGUCCCCUGAGGAAUUACAGCCAAGCAAUUGUAAUGUGCUAAGACUGCACUAGCAGGUGCCUGCAGUACAAAUCAGACAGAGGGUUAAAUCAAUAUUUUCAAUUUCUUAGGAUCAAUCUGGUGUUUGAACGAGAUGGAAACUUGUUAGCAAUUGGCAGGAUGUGUAAAUGAAAAGUCAAACUUCUUCUUAUUUGUUAAAAAGGAAUGAGUGUUCUGCAUCAUGCCCUUGGCACAAGGUAAUGCUUUCAUGAUCCAGUAGCUGGGGCAUUCACUGAGAAUCAAAUGGUUCUUAAAUUUUAAUAGAGUGCAAAAGGUUAGCUUCAUAGAGGUUGAACAUUCAAGAUCUUUAAAAAUGACUGAAGUGUCAAUAGGAAAGUUUUGAGCUGUGACAACAGUAUAGUUAUUAAUGAUUAGUGCAAGAAGCAGAAGGAAACCUUAAACUUAAUGGAAAGAGGAGAAAAAUAAGGUCUUACCAAGAAUGUAUAGAUUAAAUUUGGUCUUGGGAACAUUAUGCCUUUUCUCACUUUGCUAAGAAACAGUUUAGCUUUGAGGACAAUUUAUCAAAAACUUGGAUUUUUCCCCCUAGUCUUCUAUGCCGUAUUUAUAACCCUUGUUGAAUGCUUGGAUUAACUGAACAACCGUCUCUGACAAUGUUUGAUCUCAUUUUUUGUUAGUUUGCUUGCUUUCAAUUUAGGGAUAAACAAUCCUUCAUAGGCCCCCAAAUUAUGAAGAUACAAAUGAACAGAGCUUAGAAGCUUAGAAUUGUAAACAAAAAACCUGUAACCUAAUAUAUUUUGUGUGUACAUAGUAAUCAUUUUAAUCACCAUGAGGGUUGGGGGUGGGGGGACAGUGUGGUUUAUUGGGAGUCAGAGACGUGGUGUGAAUCUGAGGUCUGCCACUUACUCACCAUGGCACUAGGAUCAGUUCCACAGUGCUAAGAAACUUGCCGGGGGGCAGCUUUCCUACCUCUUAAUACCUGUUGAGAGCAGUAAAUCUCCUGCCUGGCAUAUCAAUUAAAAGUGCAAAUAUCUGCAUCUUACAUGCUAUUUAAAAACAAGUGGCAUAUUUCAAUAAGUAAAAAAUAAGUAAAUGUAUUAUUGUGCAAUAUAAAUAUUAUAGGCAAACUGAGACUCUACAUUUUUUUUUUUUUUUUGAGACAGCGUCUCACUCUGUCACCAGGCUAGAGUACAGCAGCAUGAUGAUCUCGGCUUGUUGCAACCUCUGCCACCCAGGCUCAAGUAAUCCUCCCACCUCAGCCUCCUGAGUAGCUGGGACUACAGGCACACGUCACCACACUUGGCUAAUUUUUAAAAUUGUUUGUAGAGAUAAGGUCUCACUAUAUCAGCCAGGUGGAAUAUUUUCCUUUGGUAAAACAAACAAACAAAAAACACAACAACAACAACAAAAACACCUCUAGAACCCUAUUUUUAAAAACCAUUUCAAACAAUAAUUUCUUGACUAUACAAGAGCAAGAUUUUUAAGACACAAAGACAAUAAGGCAGAGCAUCUGCCCUCAAGGAGUUUGGGGGGAAUAUGUACUCCUCAAUUAAUGGCAAACAAGGCAGAUCUAAGAUCAGCUCAGGGCACUGGGGGAAUUCAGGGAAAGAAGAAAGCCCUCAGCUGGCAGAGGGGGCAGGAGAAGGACAAGCUCUAUAGGAAAGAAUUCAUGGAAGAAACAAAAUUUGAGAUGGGCUCUGAAGAAGGGUAAGAUUUAGACAGGGCUGGGGAGAGUUAGAAGGAAGAAAACCAGACAAGGAAGGCUUCCUGGAGGAGGAACCAUGGAGUGGUGAAAUGGGAACCAAAGAAGGAAGAAAGUAAGAAAUUUCAGGCAGAGAGAGCUUCGUCUGCCAAAGCAGUUGCUUCAGUGGAACUGAACGGCUGGAACUAGCCUCCACAAGAGCAGAGAACAAGAGAGAAGGAGGGUCAUGGGCUCACCAUCACCAGCACUGAGGUCCUGCGGCAGAUGAAGGGCAGGAGGAAGAAGGGCCUGUCCGUAAACCCAGCCAGAGGGAGGAUAGAAAAGGGAAGAGAAUCAGCGGAUGGGGGCAGAGAUGGGUGUCUCCCUCUCCCUACACCUUUUGCUUGUUUUUUCCCUUUAAAAAACUGGCUCGUUUUUCCCUUUAAAUAGGAAUUACAAUGUGAAUGUGCAUGUGCAUGUGCAUGUGCGUGUGCGUGCAUGUGUGUGUGUGUGAUUGCAAAUAUAACUGACACAAAAUAUAAUUUAUAUAUAAUUAGUGUAUAUACAUAUAUUUAUACAUAUUAUAUACACGUUAACCAGGCUAACAGAUUUUUUUAAAGGAUGAGCACGUUCUAGAUUUUGUUUAUUAAGACCACGUGAGCAGCAGGCACUCAAGAACAAAGGGGCUGGGCUGUGUCGUGUGGGGAGGCUGCAGUCUCCCAGACAAGAGGAGGUCCUGAGAGCCUGGGCACCACUCCCUGCCUGCUUCUAAAAAGGAGGGUCUCUGCAGCCAGAUGUAACAUGAAGCUACCCUUCAGGAGCUGGUAGGAGAGGCCAAGACUCAAGCUGCCUAAAGAGGUAGCCAGGUUUGGGUUGAGUCUUCCUUAAGGCCUAGGACUCCUUAAGUCUUCCUACUUCUGGGCCCCUUGCUCAUCACAACACUGUCCACUGGGAUGCCCCCCACUGCCAGCCUUUGUGGAUCUUCGUAGGUCAGGUAUCCUCUGACCUCACCUGCCAGGUGAGGCAUGGUCUUGCCCACUCCCCAAGAUGCUGUCUUCCUUUGUUUAUUUGGUCUUUGAAACCUCAAUCACCUCAUGGCUCUCUGAAUUCUCUCCUCUUAGCAAGGCUAAGCUCCUCUAUUUCCCAAUGGCUCGGGGGCUUUCCCACAGCCCCAGGGGUCCUUUGUCUGAUGCCCUUCUGGCCUCUGUGUCCAUGCACCUGUUCUCCCUCUAUCUCUCCACUCCCAAGGCCCAGCUCAGGAAAAUCACCUCAUCAAACCUCUCUGACCUUCUCAGAAAUGUCCCUGCCCUGCUCUAUGGACAGCUAUGAACUCCUACCCUACCCAACCCAUACAUGUAAAUGUCUUGUGCUGGGUGUUAUGGAGAAAUAAAGAUGGCCUCAACAGCCCCUUGAUGCCAACACCCAGGUAUUCCUGUCUCAAGAAUUAUACAAGAGUAAAGCACCAGAUACAGUCUUCAGGAUACAGCAACUGCUCAAUUGCUCAAUCUUAUAAACACCUGACUGAGUUCACUGGGCCUACUCUCUACAACUGGACAGUAAAAGGCUAGCAGAAGCACACACCAUGUAUUCCUGCUUCUCCACCUUUCAUGCUAACAGUGGAGAGCUCAAUAAAUACAUGGAUAAAGGAAGAAAAAUGUUUAGCCAGAGGAUCAGUAUGAGCAUUAUCAAUGUUCCAAGUCAGCAAGAAUAAAAAACAAAUUCAAGGUCCUUUCCUUCAGUUUGGAUUUUACUUCUAAAGGCAAACAUUAGGGUAAGCAAUGUUUUCUGCAUUAGUCUCAGUUGACACUAACUGGUCAGGAGAAACCAGUUGCUCCGAGGCAUACUUCAGGGUCCUGGGUGAGCAUGGGAUAUGUCAAGGCCACCUGGGUUGGGAGAGUUUAAGGGAUGCUUACACAGAGGGAGGGAGACGUUUGGUAGGCAAGGUCAUUUGUUCAUUCAUUCUCUCACGUAUGUUUUGAACAAUUGCCUUGGGCCAGCCACCACGGAAAGCUCUGAGAAUUCAAUGGUAUGGUAAAUAUGAGUCUCUGUCAUGCACCUUCUUUAGGGUCUACUGGGUCAAAAUCCGCUGGAUAAAAAUCCUGCCUGCUGCACUUCCGUCUUGGGGAGUUUCUCUGGAUCAGAGCCUCUGCUUCCACCACCACUACCUCAAUCAGCAAUAACAAACCGAUGGCUCUUAAGGGCGAGGGGGCUAAAACCACAGAAAAGGAGAUGGAAAGAGGAAGCAGGAAAUUUUCUUUCCGAUAUUUAAAAAUCCUCACAAAACAGUGAAUCUAUGCUUCAUAAACAUUAUCAUCUGCAGAAAUAUACACAACAGAAUUUAACUAAUUUAUUUAAACUCCAACUUGUCCCCAAAACAGGCAGGUUUCAAGAAAUACGGGGUAAAAAAAAAAAAAAUUCAGGACAAAAGAGUCAGGAGUAAGGCUAUACAGAAAAAAAAAAAAAUGCAAAUCAAUAAGAAACAAGGACUCCAUGCUGACGCCAGUUAAGGAAAAGUGAGUUAGGAAACCAUUCGCUUAGAUUUUUUGGUUAAUAGGUACCAUUUAAAAAAAAAAAAAAUCACUCAGUUAAAAAAAAAAAAAACCCACACUCCCAAGGGCUAUGCAUAUUGCCUGACUUCAGUUUUGUGAAAACAAAAGCUGUAUCUUUAAGAAAUUCAACUCAAACAUCAGCUUUUGAAACCAAGGUUCAGCAAACAAGAGCCAAUAAAAAUGCUGUAACUUGAAACCAACCCACACAGCACAAAAAGAAAGGAGAGAGGUCUGCCCGGGUCGCCCUCAACACACCCUUCUAACUUGGUUCUAGAACAGCAGUGCCCAGUUUGCAAGACAAGAAGCUAAUUGACUCGAAUGUCUGCUGCAUAAGCUAUAAAAUAAGUACAUAAAGAACAAUAUGAACAUACAGCGCCAUCAGUUACAUAAAAAGGCCUGACUGUCCGACGCCACACUGUGCACCGAACAAGCACAGCAAUUGUUUCAGCGGGCUGCACGGAGGAAGAAUGAAUAAUUAGCGUCCUUGUGAAUCAAGUCUCCACCAGGAAGAGAGCUCCAUCCUGCAGCAGUGGCACGGCAGCACCCUCAGCCCGCCAGAGUCAAGCUGGGGUUUUUAAACGUCUUUAUUGACAAUCAGGAUGCAGGCAAACAUAUUCUUCAGCCAAGUAAACCGACAACUAGCUCCACUGUGGUCACUGCUCAUUGGCUGGAACACCCGCUUCUUGUCUAAAGUCUCACCAACUGCUACUUUCCAUUACCAGGAAAUGUCAUUUUCCCUCACUUGUUUAUUUUUGCAUUGGCUAGGAAUACAACAACUUCUGCUAAAGGUGGAGGGGCUGUGACAAAAGCAUCCAUUUGAGCUGUCCUGGCACAACAGGCACAACACAAGAAGUCCCUAAACGUUUCUUUCCAGAGAGUAUGAGUAGAGGGAAGCAAGGAAUGAAGUGAAGGAUUUGAUGGAGUUAAGUAACUGACCCAAGGUUUGCAAAACCGGUAAGAGGUGAACCAUGAUUUGAACCCAAACAGGUUGAUUUCAAAUCCCAUGCUAAUUUAUCACACCGUGAUUGUUAUAUUACUCUCACUUAUGUCUAUUUCCCACUCUGCUGUUCAUUUCUGGAAAAUUACUUAGUCACACUGUUUUAUUUGCAGGACAAAAACCACUAUGGAUUCCCCACUAUGGAGGACCCAGAGUUGACAGGGAAAGUGUAAUCCAAGGUACAAAGUCCCACAACUUUAUGUACUUCUCCAAGGAACUAUUUUCUCCUGAAAGGUUUGGUGAGUUCGAAGAUGUGACAGAGACCUACAAGAGCCCAGAAAGUGGUAAUAUUUUUGAGUGGUAAGUAAAAAUAUGUUCAACCUAACUAGGAACAAGAGAAUAUAGUUAAAUAAUGUGCUCACUUUUCACCCAUUUUCACCCACUGAAUGAGCUAGCAAACCUUCUCGAAAAGUAAUUUGACAUGCUGUGCUUCCAGUUUAAUAUCUAAGAACUCUUUGCCUAACUCAAGGUCAUGAAGACUUUUUAUUAUGUUGUGCUAAAAGAUUUAGCUUAACCUUCUACACUUUAGCCUAGGAUCCAUUUUGAGUUAAAUUCUAUGUACCGUGUGCGGUAAGAAUUUAAAUUUACCUUUUUUGCAUGUGGAUAUCCAAUUGUCCUAGCACUAUUCAUUGAAAAGACUAUUGAAUUGAAUUGCUUUUGAAUUGCUUUGGUACCUCUGUAGAGAAAUCAAUUGACAAUAAUGUAAUGGUUUAUUUCUAGACUCUCAAUUCUGUACCAUUAUCUAUGCUUACACCACUGUCUAUCCUUACACCAGUAACACACUGAUUUGAAUAGUAUAGCUUUGUAGUAAGUUUUGAAACUAAGAAAUAUAAGACCCCUAAUCUUUUUUUCUUCCCUUUCCGAAUUGUUUUGUUUAUUCUAGGUCAUCUACAUUUCUAUACUGUUAGAAACAGCUUGACAAUUUUUUUUAAAAAGAUGCAUACUAAAAUUGUAUAAGGAUUGCACUGAAUCUACAAAUCAUUUUAGGAAGAUUUAACAAUAUUGAGUCUUCCAAUCCAUGAACAUGGGAUAACUCUCAUUUAGCAAUAAACUAGUCUUGCACUGAUUUUAUUAAAUUUAUUCCUCAGAAUUGUGUUCAUAAUGUGGGUUUCAGAUUGCUUGGUGCUAGUAUGUAAAAAUACAAUUGAUUUUUGUAUACUAAUCUUUUAUCCUGUAAGGUUGCUGAACUCAUUAGUCGGUUCGUACUUUGGGGGAAUCGGGAUUGGGCAUGUGUUCCUUUAGGUUUUCUAGUACAGGCUCAAUUCAUCUGAAAAUAAAGAGAGUUUUCUUUCUUUCUUCCCAA